UCGGUGAUAUGGACGUGCCGCUGUUUGUUCAUCCUGCCAUCCACAGACAGACAUUUGGGUUGUCUGUGGCUUGGGGCUAACCAGUAAAGCUGUUGGGAACAUUUUGUGAACAGGUAUUUUGUGAAAAUGUUCUCGCUUAUUUUUGGUAAAUUCGAGUGUUUCAGGUGGAACCCACCAGGCAUUGUGUUGGUUAUCUCAGAGGUGGUGGAGCCUGGCUGGCUGUUGACAGCUGGGUUCCCAGCAGCCCCUGACGUCAGGUGUGGUCAUGGCGGCUGGAAUCCAUGGGAUACGUGCAGCCGUGAGGAAGUCAGGUCCUCCUUGUGCUUUGCCCUGCUGUCAGCCUAGUGCAGGUACGUGUGCUGACCUGAAACCCUGGGCUGAAGCAGAGUGGCAGGCGGAAGGCGUGGUCUCAGUGCAGGUGGAAGGCGUGGUCUCAGUGCAGGUGGAAGGUGUGGUCUCAGUGCAGGUGGAGGCGUGGUCUCAGAGUGGCAGGUGGAGGCGUGGUCUCAGAGUGGCAGGUGGAGGUGUGGUCUCAGAGUGGCAGGUGGAGGCAUGGUCUCAGAGUGGCAGGUGGAGGCGUGGUCUCAGAGUGGCAGGUGGAAGGCGUGGUCUCAGAGUGGCAGGUGGAAGGCGUGGUCUCAGUGCAGGUGGGAGGCGUGGUCUGAAUGGCAGGUGGGAAGGCAUGUGGUCUUGGGUCCUGGUUUGGGGGAGGCCAGUGGUUCCAUCCUGGACCCUGGAGACCAGGAAGUGACCCUCUCUAGGGCUGGGCUAGGGCCCACUGUGUGUCCAGGUACAGCCUCUGCAUCCAGUCCUGGGACAGACAACAGACAGUCUCCGGAUACCAAGGCAAGGCCCCGCCUCCAGCACUGCCUCCUCAGCAAGGCCUCCCUGACUGCACAGAUGGACGCUCUCAUAGCAGAGGCCAGAGAGGGAGCCCAGCCCCUCCACCAGGGAGUACACAGCACGACCACGCUCCCGGAGCCGGAAGUGCCCUCGCCAGUGCCCGGCGCUGUGGACGUGCGCCCUGCAGAACUGCAAGUAGGAAGUUUCUGUUGUUUUAUAAACUUCAGUUCAUGGUAUUUUGUUAAAGCAGCUGGAGCAGUGUGA
rnacentral:lncRNA from 1 species